rnacentral:tRNA from 1 species
GCUGCUGUAGCUCAGUCGGUAGAGCGCGUCCUUGGUAAGGACGAGGUCACCGGUUCAAGCCCGGUCAUCGGCUCCA